rnacentral:rRNA from 1 species
UACGUAGGGGGCAAGCGUUGUCCGGAAUCAUUGGGCGUAAAGAGCGUGUAGGCGGUUUGGUAGGUCCGUUGUGAAAACUCGAGGCUCAACCUCGAGACGCCGAUGGAAACCAUCAGACUAGAGUCCGGAAGAGGAGAGUGGAAUUCCUGGUGUAGCGGUGAAAUGCGCAGAUAUCAGGAAGAACACCCGUGGCUAAGGCGGCUCUCUAGUACGGUACUGACGCUGAGACGCGAAAGCGUGGGGAGCGAACAGG